rfam:Hordeum vulgare subsp. vulgare, WGS project CAJW01000000 data, contig: morex_contig_136421
UACAUACUUCCUUCGUUUUAAAAUUUUUAUCUUACGUUUGUCUAGAAAUUGAUGUAUCUAAAUACUAGCACAUGACUAGAUAUAUUCAUAUCUAAAUAAAUCAAAGACAAAAAAUUUAGAACGGAGGGAGUACAAG